rnacentral:rRNA from 1 species
UUAGGUAGUUGGAGAGGUAAUGGCUCCCCAAGCCGACGAUCGGUAGCCGGACUGAGAGGUCGAUCGGCCACAUUGGGACUGAGACACGGCCCAGACUCCUACGGGAGGCAGCAGUGGGGAAUUUUGCGCAAUGGGGGGAACCUUGACGCAGCGACGCCGCGUGGGUGAUGAAGGCCUUCGGGUUGUAAAGCCCUGUUGGGGGGGAAGAUAAUGACGGUACCCCCUGAGGAAGCCCCGGCUAACUACGUGCCAGCAGCCGCGGUAAGACGUAGGGGGCGAGCGUUGUCCGGAAUUACUGGGCGUAAAGGGCGUGUAGGCGGCUUUUCAAGUCGGCUGUGAAAUUCCCCGGCUUAACCGGGGGGGUGCAGUCGAAACUGAUGGGCUUGAGUGCAGGAGAGGGUGGUGGAAUUCCCGGUGUAGCGGUGACAUGCGUAGAUAUCGGGAGGAACACCGGUGGCGAAGGCGACCUCCUGGCCUGUUACUGACGCUGAGGCGCGAAAGCUGGGGGAGCAAACAGGAUUAGAUACCCUGGUAGUCCCAGCUGUAAACUCUGGGUACUAGGUGUGGGGGGCUUCGAUGCCCUCUGUGCCGUAGUUAAC